AUUGAACGCUGGCGGCAUGCCUUACACAUGCAAGUCGAACGGUAACGGGCCUUCGGGUGCCGGCGAGUGGCGAACGGGUGAGUAAUACAUCGGAACGUGCCCGAUCGUGGGGGAUAACGAGGCGAAAGCUUUGCUAAUACCGCAUACGAUCUACGGAUGAAAGCCGGGGACCGCAAGGCCUUGCGCGGACGGAGCGGCCGAUGGCCGAUUAGGUAGUUGGUGGGAUAAAAGCUUACCAAGCCGACGAUCUGUAGCUGGUCUGAGAGGAUGAUCAGCCACACUGGGACUGAGACACGGCCCAGACUCCUACGGGAGGCAGCAGUGGGGAAUUGUGGACAAUGGGCGCAAGCCUGAUCCAGCCAUGCCGCGUGCAGGAUGAAGGCCUUCGGGUUGUAAACUGCUUUUGUACGGAACGAAAAGCCUUCUUUUAAUACAGGAGGGUCAUGACGGUACCGGAAGAAUAAGCACCGGCUAACUACGUG
rnacentral:rRNA from 1 species